AUUGAACGCUGGCGGAAUGCUUUACACAUGCAAGUCGAACGGCAGCACGGGGCAACCUGGUGGCGGGUGGCGAACGGGUGAGUAAUACAUCGGAACGUGCCCAAUCGUGGGGGAUAACGUAGCGAAAGUUACGCUAAUACCGCAUACGAUCUACGGAUGAAAGCGGGGGAUCGCAAGACCUCGCGCGAAUGGAGCGGCCGAUGUCAGAUUAGGUAGUUGGUGGGGUAAAGGCUCACCAAGCCAACGAUCUGUAGCUGGUCUGAGAGGACGACCAGCCACACUGGAACUGAGACACGGUCCAGACUCCUACGGGAGGCAGCAGUGGGGAAUUUUGGACAAUGGGCGCAAGCCUGAUCCAGCCAUUCCGCGUGCAGGAUGAAGGCCUUCGGGUUGUAAACUGCUUUUGUACGGAACGAAACGGUCUGCCCUAAUACGGCGGGCUAAUGACGGUACCGUAAGAAUAAGCACCGGCUAACUACGUGCCAGCAGCCGCGGUAAU
rnacentral:rRNA from 1 species